GACGAACGCUGGCGGCGUGCUUAACACAUGCAAGUCGAACGGAAAGGCCUGUCCUUCCUUGUGUUGGACGGGUACUCGAGUGGCGAACGGGUGAGUAACACGUGAGUGAUCUGCCCCCAACUUGGGUAUAGGCCUGGGAAACUGGGUCUAAUUCCCGAUAGGACUGCAGGGUGGUGCCUGUGGUGGAAAACGAUUUUCUAGUGGUUGGGGAUGAGCUCGCGGCCUAUCAGCUUGUUGGUGGGGUAAUGGCCUACCAAGGCGGCGACGGGUAGCCGGCCUGAGAGGGUGGACGGCCACAUUGGGACUGAGAUACGGCCCAGACUCCUACGGGAGGCAGCAGUGGGGAAUAUUGCACAAUGGGCGGAAGCCUGAUGCAGCGACGCCGCGUGGGGGAUGACGGCCUUCGGGUUGUAAACUCCUUUCGACCGCGAGGAAGCCGCCUGGUUGGAAGGGUGGUGACGGUAGUGGUAGAAGAAGCACCGGCUAACUACGUG
rnacentral:rRNA from 1 species